rnacentral:rRNA from 1 species
GACGAACGCUGGCGGCGUGCUUAACACAUGCAAGUCGAACGGUGAAGCGCCUUCCUUUUUGGUGGGUGUGGAUGAGUGGCGAACGGGUGAGUAACACGUGAGUAACCUGCACCCUUCUUCUGGAUAACCGCAUGAAAGUGUGGCUAAUACGGGAUAUUCUGGGUCUGUCGCAUGAUGGGUCUGGGACAGCUAUUGUUUCGGUGGGGGAUGGGUUUGGGGCGUAUCAGCUUGUUGGUGGGGUGAUGGCCUACGACGGCGUUGACGGGUAGCCGGCCUGAGAGGGACACAGGCACGACCGGGACUGCUAUGGGGGGCAGCAUUGUGCGAGAGGGCGCAGUGGGGGCUAGUGUACAGCAGCGGGGCCGCUGAUGGAGUAAAGGCGUGCGGGUUGUGAACCUCUUUCGCCAGUAAAGCGGGCCUGCCUCGGUUGUGGGUGGAUUGACGGUAACGGGAUAAGAAGCACCGGCUAACUACGUG